UAUGGAAUGUGGGGGGACCGGUCAUGCCGGUUGAGAGUGCAUCCUUGAGAUGCUGACCCUUAGAACCUGCCCUGGUUAAGACCAGCGAAGGGAACAUGGAUUCAUGCAUA
rfam:Bacillus galactosidilyticus strain PL133 scaffold000140, whole genome shotgun sequence.